rnacentral:rRNA from 1 species
GGUUAAGUGACUAAGCGUACACGGUGGAUGCCUUGGCAGUCAGAGGCGAUGAAAGACGUAGUAACUUGCGAUAAGCCCAGAUUAGGUAGUAACAACCAUUUGAGUCUGGGAUUUCUGAAUGGGGAAACCCACGUGCAUAAGCACGUAUCCUUACCUGAAUACAUAGGGUAAGGAGGCGAACCGGGGGAACUGAAACAUCUAAGUACCCCGAGGAAAAGAAAUCAACCGAGAUUCCGAAAGUAGCGGCGAGCGAAAUUGGACUAGCCCUUAAGCUUUACACGCGUUAGACGAACGGUCUGGAAAGUCCGACGAUACAGGGUGAUAGUCCCGUAGUUGACGACGUGUGUUCAGUGAAAUCGAGUAGGGCGGGACACGUGAUAUCCUGUCUGAAUAUGGGGGGACCAUCCUCCAAGGCUAAAUACUACUGACUGACCGAUAGUGAACCAGUACCGUGAGGGAAAGGCGAAAAGAACCCCUGUGAGGGGAGUGAAAUAGAACCUGAAACCGUGUACGUACAAGCAGUAGGAGCAGGCUUUGUCCUGUGACUGCGUACCUUUUGUAUAAUGGGUCAGCGACUUAUAUUCAGUGGCAAGGUUAACCAUCUAGGGGAGCCGUAGGGAAACCGAGUCUUAACUGGGCGUUCAGUCUCUGGAUAUAGACCCGAAACCAGGUGAUCUAGCCAUGGGCAGGUUGAAGGUUGAGUAACAUCAACUGGAGGACCGAACCGACUAAUGUUGAAAAAUUAGCGGAUGACUUGUGGCUAGGGGUGAAAGGCCAAUCAAACCUGGAGAUAGCUGGUUCUCCCCGAAAGCUAUUUAGGUAGCGCCUCGGACGAAUACUACUGGGGGUAGAGCACUGUUAAGGCUAGGGGGUCAUCCCGACUUACCAACCCUUUGCAAACUCCGAAUACCAGUAAGUACUAUCCGGGAGACACACGGCGGGUGCUAACGUCCGUCGUGGAGAGGGAAACAACCCAGACCGCCAGCUAAGGUCCCAAAUUACUACUAAGUGGGAAACGAUGUGGGAAGGCUCAGACAGCCAGGAUGUUGGCUUAGAAGCAGCCAUCAUUUAAAGAAAGCGUAAUAGCUCACUGGUCGAGUCGGCCUGCGCGGAAGAUGUAACGGGGCUAAGUAGUAAACCGAAGCUGCGGCAAUAUACUUUUGUAUAUUGGGUAGGGGAGCGUUCUGUAAGCGGUUGAAGGUGUGUGGUAACGCAUGCUGGACGUAUCAGAAGUGCGAAUGCUGACAUGAGUAACGAUAAAGGGGGUGAAAAACCUCCUCGCCGGAAGACCAAGGGUUCCUGUCCAACGUUAAUCGGGGCAGGGUAAGUCGACCCCUAAGGCGAGGCCGAAAGGCGUAGUCGAUGGGAAACGGGUUAAUAUUCCCGUACUUCUUACAAUUGCGAUGGGGGGACGGAGAAGGCUAGGUGGGCCUGGCGACGGUUGUCCAGGUUCAAGUGCGUAGGCUUAAGAGUUAGGUAAAUCCGGCUCUUUUUAAGGCUGAGACACGACGUCGAGCACCUACGGGUGUGAAGUCAUUGAUGCCAUGCUUCCAGGAAAAGCCUCUAAGCUUCAGAUUGUAAGGAAUCGUACCCCAAACCGACACAGGUGGUCGGGUAGAGAAUACCAAGGCGCUUGAGAGAACUCGGGUGAAGGAACUAGGCAAAAUGGUACCGUAACUUCGGGAGAAGGUACGCUCUCGACGGUGAAGUCCCUUGCGGAUGGAGCUAUUGAGAGUCGCAGAUACCAGGUGGCUGCAACUGUUUAUUAAAAACACAGCACUGUGCAAAAUCGUAAGAUGACGUAUACGGUGUGACGCCUGCCCGGUGCCGGAAGGUUAAUUGAUGGGGUUAGACUUCGGUCGAAGCUCUUGAUCGAAGCCCCGGUAAACGGCGGCCGUAACUAUAACGGUCCUAAGGUAGCGAAAUUCCUUGUCGGGUAAGUUCCGACCUGCACGAAUGGCGUAAUGAUGGCCACGCUGUCUCCACCCGAGACUCAGUGAAAUUGAAAUCGCUGUGAAGAUGCAGUGUACCCGCGGCUAGACGGAAAGACCCCGUGAACCUUUACUACAGCUUGGCACUGAACAUUGACCCUACAUGUGUAGGAUAGGUGGGAGGCUUUGAAGCACGUACGCCAGUAUGUGUGGAGCCGUCCUUGAAAUACCACCCUUGUAGUGUUGAUGUUCUAACGUCGACCCCUUAUCGGGGUUGCGGACAGUGCCUGGUGGGUAGUUUGACUGGGGCGGUCUCCUCCCAAAGAGUAACGGAGGAGCACGAAGGUGGGCUAAUCACGGUUGGACAUCGUGAGGUUAGUGCAAUGGCAUAAGCCCGCUUGACUGCGAGAAUGACAAUUCGAGCAGGUGCGAAAGCAGGUCAUAGUGAUCCGGUGGUUCUGAAUGGAAGGGCCAUCGCUCAACGGAUAAAAGGUACUCCGGGGAUAACAGGCUGAUACCGCCCAAGAGUUCAUAUCGACGGCGGUGUUUGGCACCUCGAUGUCGGCUCAUCACAUCCUGGGGCUGAAGUCGGUCCCAAGGGUAUGGCUGUUCGCCAUUUAAAGUGGUACGCGAGCUGGGUUUAGAACGUCGUGAGACAGUUCGGUCCCUAUCUGCCGUGGGCGUUGGAAGAUUGAAGGGGGCUGCUCCUAGUACGAGAGGACCGGAGUGGACGAACCUCUGGUGUUCGGGUUGUGUCGCCAGACGCAUUGCCCGGUAGCUAAGUUCGGAAUCGAUAACCGCUGAAAGCAUCUAAGCGGGAAGCGAGCCCUGAGAUGAGUCUUCCCUGAUACUUUAAGUAUCCUAAAGGGUUGUCGGAGACUACGACGUUGAUAGGUCAGGUGUGUAAGUGCUGUGAGGCAUUGAGCUAACUGAUACUAAUUGCCCGUGAGGCUUAACCAU